AGAGGCCAGAGGAGGGACCUGCCCAGCAGGGGAGCUGACCUGACCACAGGAGGAGGGGGGCUGUGCCCAGGGGGCCCACGCAGACCCUUCCCUGCCUGGUUCUGACAGCAAAUGGAUAGGUGCAGCCACCCUGGCCUGAGAGGCAGCCUCAGGGAUGAGGGGCUGCUCCCACCAGGGCACUACCCCUGCCAAGACCGUGUCAGGCUGCCCUUCUGGAAACGGGCCUGGACGUGUGCUGAGCUGCCCGCCUUCCCCCGGAGACCGGUGCUUCCUUUGUAAAGCUACCUUUGUGCCAGGGUUGCUUUCAGAGGGUUUGGGAGCCAGAGGGAGCCUUGCCUUGGUCUCGGCAGGAGCACCAGGUGCCUUGAGUCUGAAGUGGGGACCCUGGAGAAGCAGCUGGACACAGGGGUCUGAAGCUUCGGAGAGACAGACCAGGACAUGUGAGGGGCGUCUGGGACCUGGGGGGGUAGGGAACCCAGGCAAGCCCAAUCUCAUAGAAGCCAAAACAUAGGUGUCCCAGGCAGGUGGCCACUAGCAGAAGUGGCACUGCUGUGUGGCCAAAGGGGCUGGUGGCCUCCUGGCUUGGGGAGGGAGGGAGGCGGAACAGAUUUCCCAGGACCAUAAAGGAAAUUUGAGAAGGAAGGCGGGUCCCUCCUGUGGCUUCCUGGGAGUGGCCCCACCUAAGGUGGACCCCGGUGACAAAGGGUGGGGCGGCAAUUCCUGAGGAGGGUGGAUCCGCAUCCCUUGGGAGGGGGUGCCAUCUGCCCUAAAGGGCAGGCCCCCAACUCCAUCUGGGCUGGGAGCAGGGCGGGGGUUGUCUGGUUGUCCACCUGAGCCAGAUAAGAACAGAGCCAGAUGGCCAGGCUGCCUCAGGCCCACACAGGGAGGCAGUGACCAUGGCCCUUGCUCCACCUUGGGGCAGCAUCAGAAAGAUUCCGCCCGCCUGCUCUGCGGGCAAAGGUUGGUAACCUGAGAGAAACUUGGGGUGAUGGGCAGGUAAGAGAGAAAGCCGACCCACGAAGGGUGGGGCCUGGCGGGCAGAGCCCCUCCCACCUCCACCUCCCAAGGGUCUGGAGUUGGUCCCUGUGCC
rnacentral:lncRNA from 1 species